CUUAGUGGCGGACGGGUGAGUAACGCGUGAGCAAUCUGCCUUUCAGAGGGGGAUAACGAUUGGAAACGAUCGCUAAUACCGCAUAACGUAUUCGGAUGGCAUCAUCUGAAUACCAAAGGAGCAAUCCGCGGAAAGAUGAGCUCGCGUCUGAUUAGAUAGUUGGUGAGGUGACGGCCCACCAAGUCGACGAUCAGUAGCCGGACUGAGAGGUUGAACGGCCACAUUGGGACUGAGACACGGCCCAGACUCCUACGGGAGGCAGCAGUGGGGAAUAUUGCGCAAUGGGGGAAACCCUGACGCAGCAACGCCGCGUGAUUGAAGAAGGUCUUCGGAUUGUAAAAAUCUUUUAUCAAGGACGAAGAAGUGACGGUACUUGAUGAAUAAGCUCCGGCUAACUACGUGCCAGCAGCCGCGGUAAUACGUAGGGAGCAAGCGUUAUCCGGAUUUACUGGGUGUAAAGGGCGAGUAGGCGGAUUGGCAAGUUGGGAGUGAAAUGUCGGGGCUUAACCCCGGAACUGCUUCCAAAACUGUUGAUCUUGAGUGAUGGAGAGGCAGGCGGAAUUCCCAGUGUAGCGGUGAAAUGCGUAGAUAUUGGGAGGAACACCAGUGGCGAAGGCGGCCUGCUGGACAUUAACUGACGCUGAGGAGCGAAAGCGUGGGGAGCAAACAGGAUUAGAUACCCUGGUAGUCCACGCCGUAAACGAUGGAUACUAGGUGUGGGAGGUAUUGACCCCUUCCGUGCCGCAGUUAACACAUUAAGUAUCCCACCUGGGGAGUACGACCGCAAGGUUGAAACUCAAAGGAAUUGACGGGGGCCCGCACAAGCAGCGGAGCAUGUGGUUUAAUUCGAAGCAACGCGAAGAACCUUACCUAGACUUGACAUCUCCUGAAUUACUCUGUAAUGGAGGAAGCUACUUCGGUGGCAGGAAGACAGGUGGUGCAUGGUUGUCGUCAGCUCGUGUCGUGAGAUGUUGGGUUAAGUCCCGCAACGAGCGCAACCCUUAUUGUUAGUUGCUACCAUUUAGUUGAGCACUCUAGCGAGACUGCCCGGGUUAACCGGGAGGAAGGUGGGGAUGACGUCAAAUCAUCAUGCCCCUUAUGUCUAGGGCUACACACGUGCUACAAUGGCCGGUACAAUUAGAAGCCAAACCGUGAGGUGGAGCAAAACUAUUAAAACCGGUCUCAGUUCGGAUUGUAGGCUGAAACUCGCCUACAUGAAGCUGGAGUUGCUAGUAAUCGCGAAUCAGCAUGUCGCGGUGAAUACGUUCCCGGGCCUUGCACACACCGCCCGUCA
rnacentral:rRNA from 1 species